rnacentral:rRNA from 1 species
UGGGGAAUUUUGGACAAUGGGCGAAAGCCUGAUCCAGCAAUGCCGCGUGUGUGAAGAAGGCCUUCGGGUUGUAAAGCACUUUUGUCCGGAAAGAAAUCCUUGGCUCUAAUACAGUCGGGGGAUGACGGUACCGGAAGAAUAAGCACCGGCUAACUACGUGCCAGCAGCCGCGGUAAUACGUAGGGUGCAAGCGUUAAUCGGAAUUACUGGGCGUAAAGCGUGCGCAGGCGGUUUGCUAAGACCGAUGUGAAAUCCCCGGGCUCAACCUGGGAACUGCAUUGGUGACUGGCAGGCUAGAGUAUGGCAGAGGGGGGUAGAAUUCCACGUGUAGCAGUGAAAUGCGUAGAGAUGUGGAGGAAUACCGAUGGCGAAGGCAGCCCCCUGGGCCAAUACUGACGCUCAUGCACGAAAGCGUGGGGGAGCAAACAGGAUUAGAUACCCCUGGUAGUCCACGCCCUAAACGAUGUCAACUAGUUGUUGGGGGAUUCAUUUCCUUAGUAACGUAGCUAACGCGUGAAGUUGACCGCCUGGGGAGUACGGUCGCAAGAUUAAAACUCAAAUGAAUUGACGGGGUCAUACUG